rnacentral:lncRNA from 1 species
CCCAAAUUCAAUUUUAAAAAAAUUGACAUAUUAACAUGUUCCAAAAAUAGCGUUUGUUCUGCUUUCUACACAAACAGUGGAAACUCUUUCCCAGCCAAAUAUCAAAACUCACAAAUCAUAGGCAUCCCAAAUCCACCCCCCAAAUACAAACAAAAAUGAAACUAAAAGAGUAACUGCCAAAACAUAAUAAACAGACCUAAUAACCUUCCUCCGAAUCAUCUUACCCUGUUCCUAAAAGAUCAUCUUCUUCGCUUCAAAACUGAUGGUUUGAUUCUGAUGUUUGCAGGGGAUGAGAGAAAUUUGUUCAUGUUUGCAUGAAAGGAAAGUGAACCGAGAGUUCCAACAGAGAAAACCUUAAACUGAAGAUCUUCCUUUGUGUUUGCUGUAUCAAAGCCAUUUAACGAUAAGAAGAAAAAGGAUAAGAAAAAAGUGAAUCUACAAGCAGAGCUGACGGCAGAAAGGAACAUAAAUGCAAAUCAUAUAGACCAUAAACUGAAAAUGACCCAAAUCGCCUUUUUUUUUUUCCUCUUUCUGGUAAGCCAUAUUUACAGUUUAAGGCCUCCAGAGUUCCAUUUCUGCUGUCAGCUUUGCUUGGACUGUUCCCAAUCGUUUCACUUUUUCCUUCUCCUUUUUCUCCCUAUCAUUCAAUGGUUUUGUUACAGCAAACAGAGUUGAAAGCAGGACAAAAUGCGACUCAUCACAAAAGAAAUGAAAGAAACCAAAGCAAAAAAUGAUUUGCCUAUAUGGAACUGCCUCAGCCUUUUUGGGGAACUUUCGGUUCAAUUUCCUUGCUUGCAGCCACGAAUCAUCAAAAGAGAUAGAAACACCAGCCUGUGUGCAUAAGAAAAAAAAUGCGAGUUUCACUUGUUCAGACGCUUGGGGUUCUUAUAUUAUUACGUAGAUCAGAAGGACUGCAACAAGAAAGAGAAAUUCAAUUACUUAACUUAUACUUUUACUAAAGAAAAAGAAUGAAAACAAAACCCUUCACUGUUGUGGCUUUCUAUGGGCUUCCGUCUUUGAAUCUUUAUUUCUCUAUUUGUUUCUUGGAAGUUGGCUCAUUUUUUAUUACUAUGUAGCACUAUCUUUUUGAUAUCAGUCUGGUUAUUUAAUCUAUAAACCUGUAGAUUUAAACAACAAAAAAUAAUAAAUAAACUUUUGUCAAUGUUGAUGCGGAAG